GACGAACGCUGGCGGCGUGCUUAACACAUGCAAGUCGAACGGUAAGGCCCUUCGGGGUACACGAGUGGCGAACGGGUGAGUAACACGUGGGUGAUCUGCCCUGCACUUCGGGAUAAGCCUGGGAAACUGGGUCUAAUACCGGAUAGGACCACUGCCUGCAUGGGUGGUGGUGGAAGACUUUUGCGGUGUGGGAUGGGCCCGCGGCCUAUCAGCGUGUUGGUGGGGUGAUGGCCUACCAAGGCGACGACGGGUAGCCGGCCUGAGAGGGUGACCGGCCACACUGGGACUGAGAUACGGCCCAGACUCCUACGGGAGGCAGCAGUGGGGAAUAUUGCACAAUGGGCGCAAGCCUGAUGCAGCGACGCCGCGUGAGGGAUGACGGCCUUCGGGUUGUAAACCUCUUUCAGCACCGACGAAGCGCAAGUGACGGUAGGUGCAGAAGAAGGACCGGCCAACUACGUGCCAGCAGCCGCCGUAA
rnacentral:rRNA from 1 species